CGAGCGGCGAACGGGUGAGUAAUGCAUCGGAACGUACCCUGGAGUGGGGGAUAACGCCGCGAAAGCGGCGCUAAUACCGCAUAUGCUCUGAGGAGGAAAGUGGGGGACCGCAAGGCCUCACGCUCUGGGAGCGGCCGAUGUCCGAUUAGCUAGUUGGUGGGGUAAAGGCUUACCAAGGCGACGAUCGGUAGCUGGUCUGAGAGGAUGAUCAGCCACACUGGGACUGAGACACGGCCCAGACUCCUACGGGAGGCAGCAGUGGGGAAUUUUGGACAAUGGGGGCAACCCUGAUCCAGCCAUGCCGCGUGAGUGAAGAAGGCCUUCGGGUUGUAAAGCUCUUUUGGUCCGGGAAGAAAGCGCCUUGCCUAAUACGCGAGGUGGUUGACGGUACCGGCAGAAUAAGCACCGGCUAACUACGUG
rnacentral:rRNA from 1 species